rnacentral:lncRNA from 1 species
UUUUGUUCCAAUUGGGCAACUGGAACGUUUUCAGCCUCCCACUGCACCUCAUUAAAAUGGAACAUUUCCAUAAAACGCUUUUCCAAAUUCAACUUCGCCGGAAUCUUUUAAGGAACAUUUUCAGGGAAUCUUUAAAGAAAAUUUACCCUUCCCUACUGGGGAAAACACUGGGAUUUCUCCCAGAAUUCCAGGCUGUGACCAUUUCUCCUGCCUUUUUAACUGGGGAGCGGCGUGUUCUGCCCUCGCGGUUUGGGAAACGCCGACGGAUCCACGCGUAGGGGAUGCCCUCAGACACAGAGCAGGAGAAGGAUUUGCAUCCUCUGCUCUUUUCCCUGUGGUAUCUGUGGUGCCACCAGUGUGGAUCACUGUCUGGAGCCCUGUUUGGGGGCUGUGUGUCCCCUCCCCUGGCAGAGGCAUUGUGGAAACAGGUAGCAUCCCAGACCUGUGGAGGAGCUCAGCAGGAGGAGAACAAGUGGGGGGAAAUAUUCCCAUUGUGUUCUGCUGGUGGCUCAGGUAUGCUGAGGUAAUUUGCAUGUUCUUUGGGAGUAAGGGAGACUUUCUGGCUCAAUUGCACACAGCAGGAAGAAAAAUAGUGUGAGGCUCUUCAUUUGUACUUUUUUUUACUGUUUUACAACCUGGGAAACACUCGGGGCAUAAAUCAAUUGCUCUUUCAGCAGAGCCACAGAGGUCUUGCAGCCUCCUUGCUCCAGGUGAGGUCAGUGCAAGAGCAAUGGGAGUGAGGAUAAAACAUGGACAAAAG